rnacentral:rRNA from 1 species
UGGGGAAUCUUGCGCAAUGGGCGAAAGCCUGACGCAGCGACGCCGCGUGAGUGAUGAAGGCCUUCGGGUCGUAAAGCUCUGUGGGGAGAGAAGAAGAAAGCCCGUGAAGAGCGGGCCUUGACGGUAUCUCCUUAGCAAGCACCGGCUAACUCCGUGCCAGCAGCCGCGGUAAGACAGAGGGUGCAAACGUUGUUCGGAAUUACUGGGCGUAAAGCGCGUGUAGGCGGCUCUGAUAAGUGAGGUGUGAAAGCCCUGGGCUCAACCCAGGAAGUGCACUUCAAACUAUCGAGCUUGAAUGCUGGAGAGGAAAGCGGAAUUCUCGGUGUAGAGGUGAAAUUCGUAGAUAUCGAGAGGAACACCCGUGGCGAAGGCGGCUUUCUGGACAGCGAUUGACGCUGAGACGCGAAAGCGUGGGGAGCAAACA